rnacentral:rRNA from 1 species
UACAGAGGUCUCAAGCGUUGUUCGGAUUCAUUGGGCGUAAAGGGUGCGUAGGUGGCGCUGUAAGUCGGGUGUGAAAUUUCGGAGCUUAACUCCGAAACUGCAUUCGAUACUGCGGUGCUUGAGGACUGGAGAGGAGACUGGAAUUCAUGGUGUAGCAGUGAAAUGCGUAGAGAUCAUGAGGAAGACCAGUGGCGAAGGCGGGUCUCUGGGCCGUAACUGACGCUGAGGAGCGAAAGCGUGGGGAGCGAACAGG